rnacentral:rRNA from 1 species
UAAACAGAGGGAAGCGAACCCGCAGGGGGGAGCAAAUCCAGAAAUAACGUCCCAGUUCGGAUUGUAGUCUGCAACCCGGCUACAUGAAGCUGGAAUCGCUAGUAAUCGCGGAUCAGAAUGCCGCGGUGAAUACGUUCCCGGGUCUUGUACACACCGCCCGUCACACCAUGGGAGUCGGAAAUGCCCGAAGUCUGUGACCCAACCUCAGGGAGGGAGCAGCCGAAGGCAGGUCGGAUGACUGGGGUGAAGUCGUAACAAGGUAGC